UACGAAGGACCCAAGCGUUAUCCGGAUUUAUUGGGUUUAAAGGGUGCGUAGGCGGAUUGUUAAGUCAGUGGUGAAAGCUCCGAGCCCAACUCGGAAACUGCCAUUGAUACUGAUGAUCUUGAGUACAUUUGAGGUGGGCGGAAUGUGUCAUGUAGCGGUGAAAUGCUUAGAGAUGACACAGAACACCGAUUGCGAAGGCAGCUCACUAAACUGUAACUGACGCUGAGGCACGAAAGCGUGGGGAGCAAACAGG
rnacentral:rRNA from 1 species